CCUACGGGUGACAGCAGUGAGGAAUAUUGGUCAAUGGACGGGAGUCUGAACCAGCCAAGUAGCGUGAAGGAUGACUGCCCUAUGGGUUGUAAACUUCUUUUAUAAAGGAAUAAAACGAUGCACGUGUGCCUUUUUGCAGGUACUUUAUGAAUAAGGAUCGGCUAACUCCGUGCCAGCAGCCGCGGUAAUACGCAGGAGCCGAGCGUUAGCCGGAUUUAGUGGGUUUAAAGGGAGCGUAGUGGGGGUGGUAAGUCAGUGGUUAAAGUUUGCGGCUCACCCGGAAAAUUGCAUUUGAUACUGGCAGUCUUUAGUACAGUUGAGGUAGGCGGAAUUCGUCGUGUAGCGGUGA
rnacentral:rRNA from 1 species